rnacentral:rRNA from 1 species
ACACAUGCAAGUCGAACGGCAGAACAGUAAGAGCUUGCUCUUAUGGGUGGCGAGUGGCGGACGGGUGAGGAAUACAUCGGAAUCUACUCUUUCGUGGGGGAUAACGUAGGGAAACUUACGCUAAUACCGCAUACGACCUACGGGUGAAAGCGGAGGACCUUCGGGCUUCGCGCGAUUGAAUGAGCCGAUGUCGGAUUAGCUAGUUGGCGGGGUAAAGGCCCACCAAGGCGACGAUCCGUAGCUGGUCUGAGAGGAUGAUCAGCCACACUGGAACUGAGACACGGUCCAGACUCCUACGGGAGGCAGCAGUGGGGAAUAUUGGACAAUGGGCGCAAGCCUGAUCCAGCCAUGCCGCGUGGGUGAAGAAGGCCUUCGGGUUGUAAAGCCCUUUUGUUGGGAAAGAAAAAGCAGUCGGUUAAUACCCGAUUGUUCUGACGGUACCCAAAGAAUAAGCACCGGCUAACUUCGUGCCAGCAGCCGCGGUAAUACGAAGGGUGCAAGCGUUACUCGGAAUUACUGGGCGUAAAGCGUGCGUAGGUGGUGGUUUAAGUCUGUUGUGAAAGCCCUGGGCUCAACCUGGGAA